rnacentral:rRNA from 1 species
UGCCAUCGCUCAACGGAUAAAAGCUACCCUGGGGAUAACAGGCUGAUCACUCCCAAGAGUUCACAUCGACGGAGUGGUUUGGCACCUCGAUGUCGGCUCAUCGCAUCCUGGGGCUGAAGCAGGUCCCAAGGGUUGGGCUGUUCGCCCAUUAAAGCGGUACGCGAGCUGGGUUCAGAACGUCGUGAGACAGUUCGGUCCCUAUCCGGCGCGGGCGCAGGAUAUCUGAGAGGAGCUGUCCUUAGUACGAGAGGACCGGGAUGGACGGACCGCUGGUGCAUCUGCUGGGAACCAGUCCCAUGGCAGAGUAGCCAAGUCCGGAGGGGAUAAACGCUGAAGGCAUCUAAGCGUGAAGCCCCCCUCAAGAUGAGAUAUCCGAAUCAAUAGAUGAAGGUCCCUUGAAGACUACGAGGUAGAUAGGUCCGGGGUGUAAGCACAGCAAUGUGUUCAGCUGACGGAUACUAAUAGACCGGAAGCUUAACCAC